rnacentral:rRNA from 1 species
GGAUUAGAUACCCUGGUAGUCCACGCAGUAAACGUUGAUCACUAGGUGUAGCGGGUAUUUACCCCCGCUGUGCCGCAGCUAACGCAUUAAGUGAUCCGCCUGGGAAGUACGGCCGCAAGGCUAAAACUCAAAGGAAUUGACGGGGGCCCGCACAAGCGGUGGAGCAUGUGGUUUAAUUCGACGCAACGCGAAGAACCUUACCUGGGUUUGACAUCCCGGGAAUUUCUAUGAAAAUAGAAAGUGCCCUUCGGGGAGCCCGGUGACAGGUGCUGCAUGGCUGUCGUCAGCUCGUGCCG